rnacentral:rRNA from 1 species
AUCCUGGCUCAGAAUCAACGCUGGCGGCGUGCCUAACACAUGCAAGUCGCACGAGAAAGGGGCUUCGGCCCUGAGUAAAGUGGCGCACGGGUGAGUAACACGUGACUUAUCUACCUCCGAGUGGGGAAUAACUGAGGGAAACCUUAGCUAAUACCGCAUAACACUUACGAGUCAAAGCAGCAAUGCGCUUGGAGAGGAGGUCGCGGCAGAUUAGUUAGUUGGUGGGGUAAUGGCCUACCAAGACGAUGAUCUGUAUCCGGCCUGAGAGGGCGCACGGACACACUGGAACUGAAACACGGUCCAGACUCCUACGGGAGGCAGCAGUGGGGAAUUUUGCGCAAUGGGGGAAACCCUGACGCAGCAACGCCGCGUGGAGGAUGAAGUCUCUUGGGACGUAAACUCCUUCGAUAGGAAG